CCAACAGGGAUUGCCUCAGUAACGGCGAGUGAAGCGGCAAAAGCUCAAAUUUGAAAUCUGGCUCUUUCAGAGUCCGAGUUGUAAUUUGUAGAGGAUAUUUCGGGCACCGCCCCAGGUUAAAUUUCUUGGAACAGAAUGUCAUAGAGGGUGAGAACCCCGUCUUGACCUGGUGGUAGGACUCAUGUGAAAUUCCUUCGACGAGUCGAGUUGUUUGGGAAUGCAGCUCUAAAUGGGUGGUAAAUUUCAUCUAAAGCUAAAUAUUGGCCAGAGACCGAUAGCGCACAAGUAGAGUGAUCGAAAGAUGAAAAGCACUUUGAAAAGAGAGUUAAACAGUAUGUGAAAUUGUUGAAAGGGAAGCGCUGGCAACCAGACUUGAGCGCGGCGGUUCCCCCUUGCUUCUGCUUGGGUUAUUCCGUCGUGUCCAGGCCAACAUCGGUUCUAGGGGUCGGUUAAAGGCCUUGGGAAUGUAUCUACCCUCCGGGGUCGACUUAUAGCCCAGGGUGUCAUGCGGCCACCCGGGACCGAGGAACGCGCUUCGGCACGGAUGUUGGCGUAAUGGUUGUCAGCGGCCCGUCUUGAAACACGGACCAAGGAGUCUAACAUCUAUGCGAGUGUUAGGGUGUCAAACCCUUACGCGUAAUGAAAGUGAACGGAGGUAAGAAGCUUCGGCUGCAUUAUCGACCGGUCCUGAAGUUUACGGAUGGAUCUGAGUAAGAGCAUAGCUGUUGGGACCCGAAAGAUGGUGAACUAUGCGUGAAUAGGGUGAAGCCAGAGGAAACUCUGGUGGAGGCUCGCAGCGGUUCUGACGUGCAAAUCGAUCGUCAAAUUUGCGUAUAGGGGCGAAAG
rnacentral:rRNA from 1 species